rnacentral:rRNA from 1 species
GAGGAAAGAGGAGGGCGUGCCUAAUACAUGCAAGUCGAGCGAACGGACGAGAAGCUUGCUUCUCUGAUGUUAGCGGCGGACGGGUGAGUAACACGUGGAUAACCUACCUAUAAGACUGGGAUAACUUCGGGAAACCGGAGCUAAUACCGGAUAAUAUUUUGAACCGCAUGGUUCAAAAGUGAAAGACGGUCUUGCUGUCACUUAUAGAUGGAUCCGCGCUGCAUUAGCUAGUCGGUAAGGUAACGGCUUACCAAGGCAACGAUGCAUAGCCGACCUGAGAGGGUGAUCGGCCACACUGGAACUGAGACACGGUCCAGACUCCUACGGGAGGCAGCAGUAGGGAAUCUUCCGCAAUGGGCGAAAGCCUGACGGAGCAACGCCGCGUGAGUGAUGAAGGUCUUCGGAUCGUAAAACUCUGUUAUUAGGGAAGAACAUAUGUGUAAGUAACUGUGCACAUCUUGACGGUACCUAAUCAGAAAGCCACGGCUAACUACGUG